UACGAAGGGGGCUAGCGUUGCUCGGAAUGACUGGGCGUAAAGGGCGCGUAGGCGGUUUGGACAGUCAGAUGUGAAAUUCCUGGGCUCAACCUGGGGGCUGCAUUUGAUACGUUCGGACUAGAGUGGGGAAGAGGGUCGUGGAAUUCCCAGUGUAGAGGUGAAAUUCGUAGAUAUUGGGAAGAACACCGGUGGCGAAGGCGGCGACCUGGUCCUUGACUGACGCUGAGGCGCGAAAGCGUGGGGAGCAAACAGG
rnacentral:rRNA from 1 species